rnacentral:lncRNA from 1 species
CCCAGACCAACAGAACAAGGCAGCUGUCUGGCCAAGCUGGUAACAGAAUUAGAGGAAGAGGACACUUGUUUUCUGAACCAGGAUGAAUACUACUGUAAGUUGAAAUAGGUGAGGAGAAGUAAGCGAGGAAAAUAACAAAAAUAUUGAUUCUCACCAUUAUUAACUUUUCUCAGUAUUACCCAGGUCCAGGGUACUCUGAUGAAAGGAGAAAGCAGAAGCUAGAGAAGCCAGCAUCAUGUACCCAUUUGUGGAUGUGGCACCUGGCCCUGCCACUGGGGUGAACCAGCAGAAGUCCCAUUUUCCACAAUGGGAAGGUCCUCCUAACUGGGCUACCUCUCCCAUGAAACCCUGUGAUCUUCCUUUCUAUUGAACUGCAGAAGGAUAUACUAAGAAGCAGCAAGGAAAAUGUUUUUAAAGUUCUUUUUAGGAGACAUAAAACUAAGACAAACAGCAGAGCAUUUUGGGCAUGCAAUGAAGAACAAAGUAUAAGCAUAUGGACUUUCUUUGAAAUUAACAAACAAGUCCCUUGUCAAAGCGGAGAUAUUUGGAGCUACAGUGCAUGAAAAAUGUAGUCAUUAUUUCAGAAGAGUUGUGUGUGUGAAUAAAAUAUAUUUGUCUACUGGAUUUUGGUUAUCU